UAAAAACUAAAAUGCUUUUGUAUCUCUAGGUGGGGUCAUCAAAUAGGAGACGCGCACUACUGUCACUUGGCGCUCGCUGUAAGAAUUUGAAAGGCCAGGCGACGUCGUAUCAACAAAUCCCCCCGCGGCCCCCCCGGCGUCACCACCGCGAGAAAAUAACUAGGGUUUGCAGAUUCUUGGGAAAUUUUCUAUUUCAUUUAUCCAUGGAAUCUGACUCAUCUCGAAUACGGAUCAAUCAGUUUUUUGCUUCGAAAAAGAGGAAAGCUUUAUCUCCUGGUUUGAAGUACGGGAUUGAAAAAGAGGCAACAAUAACGUCAGAUGGGUCUCCUAAUGCGAAAGGCACUUUGGACAAUUACUUGGUAAAUUCGCAGGAUCAGAAUCGUGGUCUGUUGUCCAGGCAAGAUUCAGUUAAAAGAAAUCUGGCAUUGGAGAUUAAUGAACUCUCGAAAGAUGAAAAAAUGGAUCCCUGUUCAGUUGCUAAAUUGGACUCUCAAAAUUCUGAAGGAGCUGGAACUAUUAAGAAGGAAACCUCUCAAGGUUCAUGUAAUGCAGGCCAUGUUGCAGUUGAAGGUUGCUCAGUUCCAAGGCAGAGUGCAGAAAGCUCGGAACUUAAACAGUUUGCAAAUGAUUUUUUGUCUUUGUACUGCAGUGAACUCCAAUCGACAGCAACUUCACCGUCUAAGCCAAAGUUGAAUGACCAUAAGAGACAUGGUAGUCCAUUGUUGGUGGAUGACAGGGAUAAAACAUCAAAGAAGAGGCAUUGUGAUUGUGUAACCAGCCAGUCACUUUCAGAAGGUGAAACUGCUUUCUUUUUUGAGAAAAAGGCAGAAAACAAACAAUCUGCUAUCAUUGCAACAGCUGAAAUGCCACUUUACCAUGUGUCUAGAGAGGCUACGGUUGUUAAUGACCCCAUUAAGCUUCAAGCAAGCUUGAGAAAAUGCAACAGAGUGUCUAGGUUACCUGCUGGUAUGGCUGAAUGCUCUACGCCAGGCUCAUCAAUUGUUAAAUCACUUGUUCGUGAAACACCCAGGUCAGCACGUGGAAGCUCCAUGUUUUCACCAGGAGAAGCAUUCUGGAAUGAGGCAAUUCAAAUUGCUGAUGGUUUAUUUUCUGAAGCUGGUAAUCCUCUUGCUUUGGGUGCUGAUGAUGUUAACAAAGAAAGUUGCAGUGACAAGUCGAGGCAAAUGUUGGAUGAAUCAGGCAGCAGAAUUCAGCAGAUGGCAAAUAGCUGUUCUUUGGAGUUAUUUAGGGCACAUAUGAGAGAUUCUAUUAAAAAAUCUUCUACAUUGCCUGUCAAAAAUCUUGAUCUUUUGUUUCAGGACAAAAACUUGGACACAACUUCCCCAUUCCGCACAGCAGAUGAUUCAGAUAUGCUCAAGGGCGGUGAACAGUCUGAAUGUGGUUCUGUAAAUAUCAAAUGCAUUCGAACUGGUAAAAUUGCAACUUGUAAUGAAGUUCAAACAAAAGAAGAGAUGCACGACGUGCAAAAGACUGAGUCUAUUUAUGCAAUGACAAAAAGGGAAGCAGAUUUGCUACUUCAAUAUACUGAUAGCAUUAUGCCUAAUUCACCAAUUAAUGAAAUUAGGAAUCCUGUUGCUAGUGCAUAUGGUGAAGCAGACACUCCUUCAAGUUUUGUGCCACUGAAAGACAGAUUAGAUCUUGUUAAUUGGCUUCCUGCAGAAGUAUGCAGCAUAUAUAAAAGGAGAGGAAUUUCAAAACUGUACCCUUGGCAGGUUGACUGCCUUCAAGUGGAUGGAGUUUUGCAGAGAAGGAAUCUUGUAUAUUGUGCAUCUACAAGUGCUGGUAAAAGUUUUGUUGCUGAGAUUUUGAUGCUGCGGCGGGUCAUAUCAACUAGGAAAAUUGCAUUCCUUGUGCUUCCUUAUGUAUCAAUCUGUGCAGAAAAGGCUGAAUAUCUGGAGGGCCUUUUGGAACCACUUGGUAAGCAUGUUCGGAGUUAUUAUGGGAACCAAGGUGGUGGAAUACUUCCUAAAGAUACUUCUGUGGCUGUAUGCACUAUAGAAAAAGCAAACUCUUUAAUAAACAGAUUGCUAGAAGAGGGUCGUUUAUCAGAAAUUGGAAUCAUUGUGAUAGAUGAACUGCACAUGGUGGGUGAUCAGAACAGGGGUUACCUUUUGGAACUCAUGUUGACAAAGCUUCGUUAUGCUGCUGGUGAAGGCAACUCAGAAUCUACUAGUGGUGAAAGCUCAGGUACAAGCAGUAAGGGUGAUCCUGCUCAUGGCCUGCAAAUUGUUGGCAUGAGUGCAACAAUGCCAAAUGUGGCAGCAGUUGCGGAUUGGCUUCAAGCAGCAUUUUACCAAACAAAUUUUCGACCUGUUCCACUAGAGGAGUUUAUUAAAGUUGGCAACACCAUUUAUGACAAGAAAAUGGAUAUUGUUAGAACAAUUCCAAGAGCAGCUGAGCUGGGUGGUAAGGAUCCAGAUCAUAUUGUGGAACUAUGCAAUGAGGUUGUUCAAGAUGGCCAUUCAGUGUUAAUAUUUUGCUCUAGUCGAAAAGGAUGUGAAUCAACUGCCAAGCAUGUCUCCAAAUUCCUGAAGAAGUUUUCUGUCAAUGUUCAGAAUAAUAGUGAGUUUCUUGAUAUUGCCUCAGCUGUUGAAGCUUUGAGAAGAUCUCCCGUGGGAUUGGAUCCUAUACUUGAAGAAACUCUUCCUUCUGGUGUUGCAUAUCAUCAUGCCGGCCUCACAGUUGAGGAAAGAGAAAUUAUUGAAAGCUGUUAUCGUAGAGGCCUUUUACGAGUUUUGACAGCUACAUCUACCUUAGCUGCUGGCGUUAACCUGCCUGCGAGGAGGGUCAUUUUCCGACAACCCAGGAUUGGCCGUGAUUUUAUUGAUGGGACUAGGUAUAGACAGAUGGCGGGUAGGGCUGGUCGGACUGGGAUUGAUACUAAAGGAGAAAGUAUACUUAUUUGCAAACCAGACGAACUCAAAAGAAUCAUGGGACUGCUUAAUGAAAACUGCCCGCCAUUGCAGUCUUGUCUCUCUGAAGAUAAAAAUGGAAUGACUCAUGCAAUUUUAGAGGUUGUGGCUGGUGGAAUUGUUCAAACUGCUAAUGAUAUUCACCGAUAUGUUAGAUGUACUCUCCUCAAUUCUACAAAACCAUUUAGAGAUGUCGUGAAGUCAGCCCAGGAUUCUCUUCGAUGGUUGUGUCACAGAAAAUUUCUUGAUUGGUGUGAUGAUACAAAGUUGUAUAGCACCACACCACUUGGACGUGCAGCUUUUGGCAGUUCUCUUUGUCCAGAAGAAUCACUUAUUGUGCUGGAUGAACUUUCUAGAGCAAGAGAAGGAUUUGUUCUUGCAUCUGAUUUACAUCUUGUGUACUUAGCCACACCAAUCAAUGUUGAGGUUGAACCAGAUUGGGAAUUAUACUAUGAAAGGUUCAUGGAGUUGUCCCCUCUUGACAAGUCUGUUGGAAAUCGGGUUGGAGUUUCAGAACCAUUUUUGAUGCGUAUGGCUCAUGGGGCACCAAUGCGCAUGCUGAACAGAUCAACUGACAAUAUGAAAGGGCUGCCUGGAAAGUUAGAAAAUCAACAUGGGAAGUCAAAGAACAGUAUAAUUUCAGAUGAGCAGUCACUUAGAGUGUGCAGGCGAUUUUAUGUUGCUCUUAUUCUAUCAAGGCUAGUGCAGGAAACACCUGUAGCUGAGGUUUGUGAAGCUUUUAAGGUUGCUAGAGGCAUGGUUCAAGCCUUACAAGAAAACUCUGGAAGGUUUGCAUCUAUGGUUUCUUUGUUUUGUGAAAGACUUGGAUGGCAUGACGUGGAGGGCUUGGUUUCUAAGUUCCAAAGUCGUGUUUCAUUUGGAGUGAGAGCAGAAAUUGUGGAGCUUACCACUAUUCCAUAUGUUAAGGGUUCUCGAGCAAGAGCACUAUAUAAGGCAGGCCUGCGUACGCCUCUGGCUAUUGCUGAAGCAUCUGUCUCUGAAAUUGUUAAGGCUAUUUUUGAAUCUUCAUCAUGGACAGCACAAGAAGGUUCUGCGCAAAGGCGCUUACAAUUGGGAGUUGCGAAGAAAAUCAAGAAUGGUGCACGCAAAAUUGUUCUUGAAAAAGCUGAAGAGGCAAGAGUUGCUGCUUUCUCAGCUUUUAAAUCUCUUGGACUUGACAUCCCUCAGUUUUCUCGGCCAUUAUUAAUGAACACUUCUGUAGAUAAUGCUGAGAAACAUGCUGCAAGUAACUUAUCUGAAGAUGGCACCACCAAUGUCAUCGUUUCUUUGGAGCAAACAGACCAUACUUCAUAUGACUUGUGCAUAGAAGGGAGUAAGAAGCCUGCUGAAGUUACUUUGGAAAGUGAAGGAGACAAGUUAAUUAAAACAAUAGAUGUUGUCUUAGAGGCUUCAGCAGAAACAAAUUCAACUGGUCUGGUGCAAUCUAAUAUUGGUGCUGAAAAUUCUAAGGUAGUGGAUAGAAAGUCUUUGCCUACAGGUAAUCAUAAUGCAAAUGCAGUUGUCGUCCUAUCUGUCGAGUCAGAACAAGAUGGUGAUGGAACUGGGACACACCAGAGGAAUAUUCUCAGGGAGGUACAUGAGCAAUGUAGUAGACAAAAUUUGUCCAGUGACAACAUGGAAAAUGCUUGUGAGAAGGGCCCUAUUAAGGCAAGUAAUAUUUCUGGUGGAUUAGAUAGUUUCUUGGUUCUCUGGGAUGCUGCCCAAGAAUUCUAUUUUGACCUCCAUUAUAAUAAAAGAUCAGAAGUAAAUUCUGUUGCACCUUAUGAAAUACAUGGUAUGGCCAUAUGUUGGGAAAACUCUCCUAUAUACUACGUCAAUCUUCCAAAAGAUCUAUUAUGCCCUGAUAAUCAAAAAUAUGUUCUACGACCUGAGAAUUGGCUGGAGAUAGUUAGGCAUAGAUGGAAUCGAAUUGGUAAAAUAAUGGGGAAAAGGGAGGUCAUAAAGUUUACUUGGAAUUUAAAAAUUCAGAUUCAGGUGCUCAAGAAUGCUGUAGUUUCUAUUCAUAGAUUUGGGUCCACAAAUCUUUCAGGGAAAGAUUUGGAUCUUGAACUCAUAGACAGUUCUCACUUGCCAUUGCCCCAAAUUAAUGUUACCGAAGGAAUUGAUAUGUGCAUUGUGGCAUGGAUUCUUUGGCCUGAUGAGGAGAGAAGUUCUAAUCCAAACCUUGAGAAGGAAGUCAAAAGAAGGCUACCCACUCAGGCUGUUGCAGCUGCUAAUAGGAAUGGCAGGUGGAAGAAUCAGAUGCGAAGAGCUGCUCAUAAUGGUUGCUGUCGUCGGGUUGCACAAACACGAGCUCUGUGUUCUGUUCUUUGGAAGUUACUUAUUUCUGAGGGACUUGUUGAAGCACUUAAGAAAAUUGAGAUGCCACUGGUUAAUGUUCUCGCAGAUAUGGAGCUUUGGGGGAUAGGUGUUGACAUGGAGGCAUGCCUUCGAGCUCGUAAUGUGCUGGGGAAAAAACUAAGGCAUCUUGAGAAGAAGGCAUACGAGCUGGCUGGCAUGACAUUUUCACUGUAUACAGCAGCGGAUAUUGCAAAUGUGCUCUAUGGACGCCUGAAGCUGCCCAUACCAGAGGGGCAUGGCAAAGGGAAACUACAUCCAAGUACAGACAAACAUUGUUUGGAUUUGUUAAGAAAUGAGCAUCCUAUAAUUCCAGUCAUCAGAGAGCACCGCAUAUUGGCAAAGCUUUUCAACUGUACACUGGGUUCAAUCUGUUCACUGGCUAGGCUAUCUGUGAGGACGGAGAAGUACACACUGCAUGGCCGUUGGCUCCAGACAUCUACUGCAACUGGGCGGCUUUCAAUGGAAGAACCUAAUCUUCAGUGUGUUGAGCAUAUGGUCGAAUUCAAAAUUAGUAUGGAUAAAAAUGGAGGUGAUGCUGAAGCCAAUAAUUAUAAGAUAAAUGCUCGUGAAUUCUUCAUUCCUACUCAGGAAAAUUGGUUGCUGUUAACAGCAGAUUAUUCUCAGAUAGAAUUGCGGCUAAUGGCACACUUUUCUAAGGAUGCCUCAUUAAUUGAACUUCUUAGUAAGCCACAUGGUGAUGUUUUCACCAUCAUAGCUGCAAGAUGGACUGGGAAGGCAGAAGAGUCCGUUGCAUCGCUUGAGCGAGAUCAGACCAAAAGGUUGGUGUAUGGAAUUCUUUAUGGAAUGGGUGCUAACACACUUGCACAACAGCUGGAAUGCAGUUCGGAUGAAGCUGCAGAAAAAAUUAAAAGCUUCAAAAGUUGUUUUCCUGGAGUUGCUUCCUGGCUUCAUGAAGCAGUUGCAUCCUGCCGUAAAAAUGGUUAUGUGGAGACCCUCAAGGGAAGGAAACGCUUCUUGUCAAAAAUUAAAUUUGGAAACAGUAAAGAAAAAUCAAAAGCUCAGAGACAAGCAGUUAAUUCUAUCUGUCAGGGAUCUGCUGCUGAUUUAAUCAAGAUCGCUAUGAUUAAUAUAUACUCUGUCAUUGCGAGAGUUGAUGGACCAGACCCAAGCUCUUCACUUGCAACUAAGUUUCACAUGCUGAAGGGACGGUGCCGAAUUCUUUUGCAGGUACACGAUGAACUAGUUUUGGAAGUUGAUCCCCCUGUGAUCAAGGAAGCUGCAUCAUUGUUACAAGCAGGCAUGGAAAAUGCUGCAUCGCUUCUUGUGCCUUUGCAAGUCAAACUGAAAGUUGGAAGAUCAUGGGGUUCUCUGGAGCCUUUCCAGGUUGAUCCAUGUGUAAAUGGAGUUUACGUGAUUGAUUCUUAAAGUAGCAAAAUUGUUCUUGGAAAUGAGGGGUCAGUAUGAUGUUGGGGGGUGAAGUUUGAUGACCAUUUGAACUAGUGUGUCUAAACAAUGCUUAAUAUGCCUGGUCAUGUUUCCGGUCAUACAUUCCUGAGGGAAAGGGUGUUUUGUGUCACAGUUGCUUGCUGUCAGAGCAACAUAAGUCUGGAAUGAUCAUAAGAGCCACAAUUAACCAACCAGAUUGGUAUGGUGAUAGUGCUAGUGGUUAUUCCUAAUAUCACGGGAGUCUGAUAAUUUCAGGACGCAUAGGAAGAUGACAACAGAAGGAUAUAUUUAUUACUGCACACUGCUAAAGCAAACUUUGAAAGUAUGUAG